UACGUAGGUGGCAAGCGUUGUCCGGAUUUACUGGGCGUAAAGGAUGCGUAGGUGGAUAUUUAAGUGGGAUGUGAAAUACCUGGGCUUAACCUGGGUGCUGCAUUCCAAACUGGAUAUCUAGAGUGCAGGAGAGGUAAGUGGAAUUCCUAGUGUAGCGGUGAAAUGCGUAGAUAUUGGGAGGAACACCAGUGGCGAAGGCGGCUCACUGGACCGGAACUGACGCUGAUGCGCGAAAGCGUGGGGAGCAAACAGG
rnacentral:rRNA from 1 species